rnacentral:rRNA from 1 species
AAGAACUAACAGGAUUCCCCUAGUAACUGCGAGUGAAGCGGGAAAAGCUCAAAUUUAAAAUCUGGCGGUCCUUGUGGCUGUCCGAGUUGUAAUCUAGAGAAGUGUUAUCCGCGCUGGACCGUGUACAAGUCUCCUGGAACGGAGCGUCAUAGAGGGUGAGAAUCCCGUCUUUGGCACGGACUACCAGGGCUUUGUGAUAUGCUCUCAAAGAGUCGAGUUGUUUGGGAAUGCAGCUCUAAAUGGGUGGUAAAUUCCAUCUAAAGCUAAAUAUUGGCGAGAGACCGAUAGCGAACAAGUACCGUGAGGGAAAGAUGAAAAGAACUUUGGAAAGAGAGUUAAACAGUACGUGAAAUUGUUGAAAGGGAAACGCUUGAAGUCAGUCGCGUUGUCCGGGGAUCAACCUUGCUCUUUUGCUUGGCGUACUUUCCGGUUAACGGGUCAGCAUCAAUUUUGACCGAUGGAUAAAGGUCAGGGGAAUGUGGCAUCUUCGGAUGUGUUAUAGCCCUUGGUUGCAUACAUCGGUUGGGAUUGAGGAACUCAGCACGCCGCAAGGCCGGGUCUUUGACCACGUACGUGCUUAGGAUGCUGGCAUAAUGGCUUUAAUCGACCCGUCUUGAAACACGGACCAAGGAGUCUAACAUGCCCGCGAGUGUUUGGGUGGAAAACCCGGACGCGUAAUGAAAGUGAAAGUUGAGAUCCCUGUCGUGGGGAGCAUCGACGCCCGGACCAGACCUUUUGUGACGGUUCCGCGGUAGAGCGUGUAUGUUGGGACCCGAAAGAUGGUGAACUAUGCCUGAAUAGGGUGAAGCCAGAGGAAACUCUGGUGGAGGCUCG